UACGUAGGGGGCAAGCGUUGUCCGGAUUUACUGGGCGUAAAGAGCGUGUAGGCGGCCAGGCAGGUCUGUUGUGAAAACUGGAGGCUCAGCUUCCAGACGUCGACAGAAACCGCUUGGCUAGAGUCCGGAAGAGGAGAGUGGAAUUCCUGGUGUAGCGGUGAAAUGCGCAGAUAUCAGGAAGAACACCGAUGGCGAAGGCAGCUCUCUGGGACGGUACUGACGCUGAGACGCGAAAGCGUGGGGAGCGAACAGG
rnacentral:rRNA from 1 species